CCGGCGACCGGCGCACGGGUGAGUAACACGUAUGAAACCUGCCCGUAGCAGGGGGAUAAGCGGAAGAAAUUCCGUCUAAUACCGCGUAACAACCCAUGGAGGCAUCUCUGUGGGUUUAAAGGAAGCGAUUCCGGCUACGGAUGGUCAUGCGUCGCAUUAGCUUGUUGGCGGGGCAACGGCCCACCAAGGCGACGAUGUCUAGGGGUUCUGAGAGGAAGGUCCCCCACACUGGUACUGAGACACGGACCAGACUCCUACGGGAGGCAGCAG
rnacentral:rRNA from 1 species